rnacentral:rRNA from 1 species
UGGGGAAUAUUGCACAAUGGACGGAAGUCUGAUGCAGCAACGCCGCGUGCGGGAUGACGGCCUUCGGGUUGUAAACCGCUUUUUCUCAUGACGAAGUUUUUUGACGGUAGUGGGGGAAGAAGCACCGGCUAACUACGUGCCAGCAGCCGCGGUGAUACGUAGGGUGCGAGCGUUGUCCGGAAUUUUUGGGCGUAAAGAGCUUGUAGGCGGUUUGUCGCGUCGAUAGUGCAAACUCAGUGCUUAACGCUGAGCCUGCUGUUGAUACGGGCAGACUAGAGGAAGGUAGGGGAGAAUGGAAUUCCCGGUGGAGCGGUGGAAUGCGCAGAUAUCGGGAGGAACACCGGUGGCGAAGGCGGUUCUCUGGGCCUUUCCUGACGCUGAGAAGCGAAAGCGUGGGGAGCGAACAGG